CGGCUCUAGGUUGCUUCAUUCUCGCAGAUUUUUUUGUAGCGGCGGAGCGACGGCGGCGCCGAUGAGCCGGACGCGGCGGGCCACCAGCCUCUCUGGCAGCGAUACGAAUCGCUGGGUCGUGUGGAAGUCGCAUCCCAGCUUUGAACCCUUUCUGAUCUGACAGGUAUUGUGAAGGAGCCGUUUUCCUCAAAAAUGAAAAACUUGGAGGUCCUGCGAUCAACUACUUAAAAGAUACUCCAUCCGUUCUAUAAGUCUUGCCGCGGUGUUAAGGCAUAUUUGGGAUUGCUCUACUUCAUAAAGCUCAGUUUCGCUCCAUUAAAUUCACCUUGAAACAGUUUUUUAUAAAAGUUCUGAUUCUUUUAAGAGAAUGUUUGACUUUUAUCUAGCUUCAGCUUUAAGAAUGAGAAUUUGAUGAAAAGGAUA